ensembl:lncRNA
GGGGAGAAGACUUAGAUUCCUAGGCCUCACUGAGUCACUUAGAGUGUGCACUGGUGACCCACACAUUACUCAUAUGUCUGCUAGUUUGCUAAUCUGGGGUUGGCUCAGCAGGGUGGUUUUCUGCCAUUGUGGAUCUCAUGGAUGCCUGGAGGCAGGCUGGGUGUUGCUCAUCUAAAGUGGCCUCAAUGUAGACAACUGGUGUUCUGUAGUCUGGCCGUUGAAUGACCCCAAGGCUGAUGUGUUGAAGGUCUGGCUUUGAGUCUGGUGCUAUUGGAACCUCUUAGGAGGUUUAAAAAUAACUCACAAGGACUGGCAAAGGGGAAGAAAAGAGAAUCUUAUCAUCCCUAAAUGAAUACAUGGCCCAACAAAUUCACAAGACCAAGGUAACAAGAUCCAACUACAAAGAAAUAUGCUAAGUUUGAGAGAAACACACUAGGAGUUAAGAAGAAACUUGAAGUUGCUUUCUGAGGGCCGCACUUACCUCUGCCAGUAGCUGAAGAAGUGUGUCAGUUCAUGCCAUGGUGCCCCCACUUUGCAACCUCAAAGCAGGUCACUGUAAGGAUUCCUUCUGCCUGACACACGGAGAGUGUGAGUUGGCUUUAGGACAGUCCCGGGUCUGCGCACUGCCACACUGCACCAAAUGCCUGCUGAAGGAUGGAAGUAAGAAAGUGUGGUCCUCUUACCCUCAGGGACCUACACUGUGCGAAGAAGGAAUGCACAGGCUGGACUCCCAAACCCAGGGAGGAACUGGCCAAGGUGACAGAAUGUGGGUGAGCAUGUGCUGCUCUGGGGAGACCUUCAGCUGUGGGUCUCUGUCGGCUUCGUGGCUGGGCAUCUGGGGAGAGGCUCCGGGCUCGCUCCCAGCCCUGCUGUGUAGUACCUUUCAACCAUUGGCUCCAGGAAAGGUGCACAGGCUGUAGCCAGUGUGGUGGAAGACAUGACAGUGUCUUAGUCCCCUAGUGAUGCUGCUGAAGCACCAAAGCCUGUGCGACUUACACAACAAACAGUAUUGCUCACGGUCUGGGAGGCAGAAUUCCAUGGCCAGGGCGUGGCGGGACUGGCUCCUUCAGGGAUCUUUCUCCUUGGCUUUGAUCACUAUCUUCCCCUGCGUCUCCUCGCUCUUCCCUCGAGGUGUAAGCAUCUGGAUUUCCUCAUUUUACAGUGAUGUGAAUAUACCAAGUUCUGGAGCUGAGCCAGAUGCAAAGGCCACAAGUGUAAUUAUUUUUCACCUCGAGUGCAGGAGUGUGUGAGCAUUUUUGCCAGCCUUUUCUCCACUACAAAUGUCUUUGUCACAGUUCAUUUUAUAAAAAUAUAUAUUCUAAAACAUAAAUACAUUUCCUCAUAUUCCAAGGACACUAAUCAGAACAGAUUAAGAUUCAUCCUAAUGAUCUCCUUUUAACUUG